CCUACGGGAGGCAGCAGUAGGGAAUUUUCGGCAAUGGGGGGAACCCUGACCGAGCAACGCCGCGUGAAGGAAGAAGGAAUUCGUUCUGUAAACUUCUUUUAUAAAGGAAGAAAGACGGAUGGAGGAAAUGACAUCCGAGUGACGUUACUUUAUGAGAAAGCCACGGCUAACUACAGGCCAGCAGCUGCGGAAAUACGUGGGUGGCAAGCGUGAUCGGGAUUGAUUGGGCGAAAGGAGGGGGCAGGGGGCAGCAAAGGUCUGUGGUAAAAGACUGGAGCUUAACUCCAGUAAGCAAUAGAAACUGGUGAGCUAGAGUGCGGGAGAGGAUGGUGGAAUUCCAGGUGUAGCGGUGAAAUGCGUAGAUAUAAGGAGGAACACCAGUGGCGAAGGCGACGAUCUGGCCUGCAACUGACGCUCAGGCCCGAAAGCGUGGGGAGCAAACAGGAUUAGAUACCCGGGUAGUC
rnacentral:rRNA from 1 species